AGAAGCAGAAGUUGUGAAGGAGAAGCCUAAAGCAGUUCAUGAUAAAAAAGGGGUCAAGUUACCAAAAGAGAUGAUCAGAGGAAUCUCUGCAAAGACAGCUGAGGUUUCAAAACAGAAACCCAAACCAGCUGUAACAAAGAGAGAACCUGCUCCUCUCAAGACAAAACCAGCCCCAGUGGUCAA